UACGAAGGGGGCUAGCGUUGUUCGGAAUUACUGGGCGUAAAGCGCGCGCAGGCGGUUUUGUAAGUUAGGGGUGAAAUCCCCGGGCUCAACCCGGGAAUGGCCUUUAAGACUGCAAGGCUAGAGGACGAGAGAGGUGAGUGGAAUUCCCAGUGUAGAGGUGAAAUUCGUAGAUAUUGGGAAGAACACCGGUGGCGAAGGCGGCAUCCUGGACCAACACUGACACUGAGGAGCGAAAGCCAGGGGAGCAAACGGG
rnacentral:rRNA from 1 species